UACAUAUUUGAAUUAAAAUGAUGCCUUACCAAAUUCUUUUCCAACGCAUAUGCAAUUUCAUGGUCCCCCAAUUUAAAGUCCAUCCAAUUCAAAAUUCUAGGAAAUUUUAUUCUUCUGGGAUGCACUUUUGUCUUGUAUGAGAACAAAUGCUCCAAUGCCCAUAUCUAUAUACCAUCAAUAUUAAAAAUUUCAAUCAUGCUCAAUAAAAUAUGAAAUAAAUUACGC
rnacentral:lncRNA from 1 species